rnacentral:rRNA from 1 species
AACGAACGCUGGCGGCAGGCUUAACACAUGCAAGUCGAACGCCCCGCAAGGGGAGUGGCAGACGGGUGAGUAACGCGUGGGAAUCUACCUAGUUCUACGGAACAACAGAGGGAAACUUCUGCUAAUACCGUAUACGCCCUAAGGGGGAAAGAUUUAUCGGAAUUAGAUGAGCCCGCGUUGGAUUAGCUAGUUGGUGGGGUAAUGGCCUACCAAGGCGACGAUCCAUAGCUGGUCUGAGAGGAUGAUCAGCCACACUGGGACUGAGACACGGCCCAGACUCCUACGGGAGGCAGCAGUGGGGAAUAUUGGACAAUGGGCGCAAGCCUGAUCCAGCCAUGCCGCGUGAGUGAUGAAGGCCUUAGGGUUGUAAAGCUCUUUCAGUAGGGAAGAUAAUGACGGUACCUACAGAAGAAGCCCCGGCUAACUUCGUGCCAGCCGCCGCCGUAAGAC